rnacentral:rRNA from 1 species
CUAAUACUGCAAGUCGACGCUUCUUUCCUCCCGAGUGCUUGCACUCAAUUGGAAAGAGGAGUGGCGGCGGGUGAGUAACACGUGGGUAACCUACCCAUCAGAGGGGGAUAACACUUGGAAACAGGUGCUAAUACCGCAUAACAGUUUAUGCCGCAUGGCAUAAGAGUGAAAGGCGCUUUCGGGUGUCGCUGAUGGAUGGACCCGCGGUGCAUUAGCUAGUUGGUGAGGUAACGGCUCACCAAGGCCACGAUGCAUAGCCGACCUGAGAGGGUGAUCGGCCACACUGGGACUGAGACACGGCCCAGACUCCUACGGGAGGCAGCAGUAGGGAAUCUUCGGCAAUGGACGAAAGUCUGACCGAGCAACGCCGCGUGAGUGAAGAAGGUUUUCGGAUCGUAAAACUCUGUUGUUAGAGAAGAACAAGGACGUUAGUAACUGAACGUCCCCUGACGGUAUCUAACCAGAAAGCCACGGCUAACUACGUGCCAGCAGCCGCGGUAAUACGUAGGUGGCAAGCGUUGUCCGGAUUUAUUGGGCGUAAAGCGAGCGCAGGCGGUUUCUUAAGUCUGAUGUGAAAGCCCCCGGCUAACCGGGGAGGGU